rnacentral:misc_RNA from 1 species
UAGUGGAGGAGGACGCCGAAGGUGGGGCUAAUGACUGGGGUGAAGUCGUAACAAGGUAGCCGUACCGGAAGGUGCGGCUGGAUCACCUCCUAACAGGGAGACAACAAAAUGUUUAAUAUUAUUAUUUUGUCACCUUAGGUCGAUCGGUAUCUCACAUUCUUGAUUUAUUAAGGAUUUCUUUUCCUAAGUUUUUCUAGGUCACACCCAUUACUUUUCCUGGGCCAUUAGCUCAGGUGGUUAGAGCGCACCCCUGAUAAGGGUGAGGUCCCUGGUUCAAGUCCAGGAUGGCCCAUAUCUCUAUGUUGGGGGUAUAGCUCAGUUGGUAGAGCGCCUGCUUUGCAAGCAGGAUGUCAGCGGUUCGAGUCCGCUUACCUCCACUGAUUACCACCUCUUCCAUAAGUAAAAAGGAAAUGUUUUGAGUAGUAAUCUCCUUCUGAACGAAUCUAGCUUCCUAAUGGAAUCAUUAAGAUGCUGGACUCAUUGAAUUUAUUUCAUUGUUUUCAGAGAACCUUGACAACUGCAUAGAUUAUUUUUAAAGACAAUAAGCAUCUUAAUGAUGCAGAUUUAUUAUUUGUGCGAAUGCAUUAAUAACAAUUCUAUUAAGCUGAUGCUUCAAUUUUGAAGUUAUUGGUCAAGCUACAA